AACGAACGCUGGCGGCAUGCCUAACACAUGCAAGUCGAACGAGACCUUCGGGUUUAGUGGCGCACGGGUGCGCAACGCGUGGGAACCUGCCCUUAGGUUCGGAAUAACUCCCCGAAAGGGGUGCUAAUACCGGAUAAUGUCUUCGGACCAAAGAUUUAUCGCCUUUGGAUGGGCCCGCGUUGGAUUAGCUAGUUGGUAGGGUAAAAGCCUACCAAGGCGACGAUCCAUAGCUGGUCUGAGAGGAGGAUCAGCCACACUGGGACUGAGACACGUCCCAGACUCCUACGGGAGGCAGCAGUGGGGAAUAUUGGACAAUGGGCGAAAGCCUGAUCCAGCAAUGCCGCGUGAGUGAUGAAGGCCUUAGGGUUGUAAAGCUCUUUUACCCGGGAUGAUAAUGACAGUACCGGGAGAAUAAGCUCCGGCUAACUCCGUG
rnacentral:rRNA from 1 species